rnacentral:misc_RNA from 2 species
GGAAGGAUCAUUAAAGAUUGACCGAAAGGUCUCUCUAUAUCUAUAUCCCUCACCUCUGUGAACUGUGGACCUCCGGGUCUAUUUAACAAACAUCAGUGUAAUGAACGUAUAUAUCAUUAAACAAAACAAAACUUUCAACAACGGAUCUCUUGGCUCUCGCAUCGAUGAAGAACGCAGCGAAAUGCGAUAAGUAAUGUGAAUUGCAGAAUUCAGUGAAUCAUCGAAUCUUUGAACGCACCUUGCGCCUUUUGGUAUUCCGAAAGGCAUGCCUGUUUGAGUGUCAUGAAAUCUCAAUCCCCCUGGGUUUAUGAUCUGGGUCGGACUUGGAUAUGGGCGUCUGCCGGUCACACGGCUCGCCUCAAAUGACUUAGUGGAUCUCUCUGCAUCCGUGACAGACGUAAUAAGUUUCGUCUUGUCCCUUGCUUAUGAGUCUGCUCAUAACCUGCCAUCGCGCACUUUAGACUCUGACCUCAAAUCAGGUAGGACUACCCGCUGAACUUAAGCAUAUCAAU